rnacentral:rRNA from 1 species
UACGGAGGGUGCGAGCGUUGUCCGGAAUCAUUGGGCGUAAAGGGCGCGUAGGUGGCCCGGUCAGUUCGUGGUGAAAGCGCGGGGCUCAACUCCGCGUCGGCCAUGAAUACUGCUGGGCUUGAGCACUGUAGAGGCAGGCGGAAUUCCGGGUGUAGCGGUGGAAUGCGUAGAGAUCCGGAAGAACACCGGUGGCGAAGGCGGCCUGCUGGGCAGUGGCUGACACUGAGGCGCGACAGCGUAGGGAGCAAACAGG